GGGGGUGUCACGGAUUCGACCUUGUGUCGUAGUGCGAGGCUGCAUGUCGGAGAUGAUGGAGGCUCCGUAUCAAUCCAUUACAAAAAUUAAUUGGCGAAGAACAAUUCGCACUUGCUGCUUAAUGCGGCAACGUUUCUACCCUGACACCUGCUAAGGAAUAGAAGCGUCGACUAGCAGGCAUAGCUGAUAACCUGGCUCCCGUUUAUCAGUUGUAAUUAGGGAGUCUGGAAACUGAAGAGUCUGCUUAGAGACGCUUCAGCAACGACAAAAAAUUCUAAGCUAAGCAUGUAGAUGCCACGUGUGAAAGCACGAGGGACGCGGGUUCGACUCCCGCCACCUCCACCA
rnacentral:tmRNA from 1 species